GCCAGGCGUGGUGGUGCAUGCCUGUAAUUCCAGCUACUCAGGAGGCUGAGGCAGGAGACUUGCUUGGACCCAGGAGACGGAGGUUGCAGUGAGCCAAGAUCGGGCCACUGCACUCCAGCCUGGGUGACAAAGCAAGACUCCGUCUCAA
rnacentral:SRP_RNA from 1 species